rnacentral:rRNA from 1 species
AGAAGGUUUUCGGAUCGUAAACUUCUAUCAGCAGGGAAGAAAAUGACAGUACCUGACUAAGAAGCCCCGGCUAACUACGUGCCAGCAGCCGCGGUAAUACGUAGGGGGCAAGCGUUAUCCGGAAUUACUGGGUGUAAAGGGUGCGUAGGCGGCGAGGCAAGUCAGAUGUGAAAGCCCUAGGCUCAACUUAGGGACUGCAUUUGAAACCGCUUUGCUAGAGUGCAGGAGAGGAAAGCGGAAUUCCUAGUGUAGCGGUGAAAUGCGUAGAUAUUAGGAGGAACACCAGUGGCGAAGGCGGCUUUCUGGACUGUAACUGACGCUGAGGCACGAAAGCGUGGGGAGCGAACAGGAUUAGAUACCCUGGUAGUCCACGCUGUAAACGAUGAGUGCUAGGUGUCGGCCUGUAGAGGGUCGGUGCCGAAGUUAACACAUUAAGCACUCCACCUGGGG